UGCUCCUACGGGAGGCAGCAGUGGGGAAUAUUGGGCAAUGGGCGCAAGCCUGACCCAGCAACGCCGCGUGAAGGAAGAAGGCCCUCGGGUUGUAAACUUCUUUUAUUCGGGACGAAACAAAUGACGGUACCGAAUGAAUAAGCCACGGCUAACUACGUGCCAGCAGCCGCGGUAAUACGUAGGUGGCAGGCGUUAUCCGGAUUUACUGGGUGUAAAGGGCGUGUAGGCGGGAGAGCAAGUCAGACGGGAAAUUCCAGGGCUCAACGUUGAAACUGCGUGUGAAAC
rnacentral:rRNA from 1 species